GAAAGCACGACAUUGCUCACAUUGCUUCCAGUAUUACUUUAGCCAGCCAGGUGCUGGCUUUUUUUU
rfam:Raoultella ornithinolytica strain S12, complete genome.